CGCUGAAGCCGGCUGGGCAGGUACAGGUGUAACUGUUGACGCAGUCGGUACAGUUGGCUCCGUUCUUGCAGGGGUUGCUCUCACACUCGUUGAUAUCCUCCUCGCACUUUGUGCCCCGGAAGCCGGGCUGGCAGGUGCACAGGAAGCCGUUCACCUCGUCCUUACACAGGCCGCCGUUACUACAGGGGUCUGUGGGAGGAGGGAGUAUCAGGUGACCGUGGAUGCAGGGGUUGCUGAGGCACUCGUUGACCUGGGAGAAGCAGGUGGUGUCAUGGUAACCUUCUGGACACAUGCAGGUGAAGCUGUUGAUGCCGUCGAUACAGGUGCCGCCAUUGUGGCAGGGGUUUAUGGCACACUCGUCGAUGUUGAUGUUGCACAUGGUACCUGAGAAAAAGGACAGGAUACGUUACAUUCAUGUAGCAUACUUUGAGUAGAAAACAUACUUAUUAUCACCAGCCUUCCAAGAGGCAAAAUGUUAGAUUAUUAUUAAUUAGAAGAUUCAUAAAACUUUCAAUUCAGUGUGCUGAAUAUGUGGCUAGACCUCAAUAGCCUAGCUUAGCACAAAGACAAAAAAACUAAGGGAAACAGUUAGCCUAUUUUUUUCAAAGGGAAAUGAACACUCAUGAGCACCUAGAGCUCACUAAUCAACACAUUGCUUCUUGAAAAAUGAAAAACGACAAGCUUUUUACAGGGAGAAUAUGUAUGCUAGUACGAAUUCAUUAUGCUAAGCUAAGCUAACUGUCACCAUUCUUUAAUCGUAUAAUUUGAUCUAACUUAUGGCAAGAAUGUAAAUAAACAUAUUUUGUAAAGACAGUAAAGAGAUGGUUUUGAUAUGCUACAAUCAUUUCUGUCAAAAACACAAUUUUGCACUUCAUUUGAGGUACUAUUUGAAAUACACAGAGGCAAGUCACAUAGCAUCACACAAAGCCGCAACACAAUGAAAUCUAUAUCUCAGUGCAGCCAAUGUAUCAAUUUCUAGAAACAUGAGGGGUUUUAAGCCCCCUUUGUCGGCCACUUGAAGCGUUGAUGCCAUUCAGCCUGGUGCCACGUAUAGCAUAAAGGCAGCCCAUUUAGCUUUAAAGCAGGGACCUGCUUCCAAGCUUUUAAAAGCUCAACUUUCAGGGAAUCUUUCUCCUGUUCAAAUCCCAGGUGACUGUGUGUGCCAGAGUGUGUGUGUGUGUGUGUGUGUGUGUGUGUGUGUGUGUGUGUGUGUGUGUGUGUGUGUGUGUGUGUGUGUGUGUGUGUGUGUGUGUGUGUGUGUGUGUGUGUGUGUGUCCUCUUUGUACAGGAGGGCAGCUUGUGUGUCCUAACAGCAGCAGGUUGGGGACAGGGUGGAGCUAAAAAGCGAUACCGGUCGAGCCUCAGAGGAGCGUGCGCACUCGCUCGCCAUCUGUCACCCUUCCCAUCAGGAUGGCCUGCUACUCCGUCCAUAGGUUAAAUCCUAAACCUAAAACACUCCUUUAUCUACUGGUCACCUGAGACAGCAACCAUGUUUAACCGGUCUUAAGUCACCUUUGGUGCCCUUGAGACAGCUGCAGAUGUAGGCGUUCUCCCGGUCCAGGCAAGUGCCUCCGUUCCUGCACGGCUGGCUCAGACACUCGUUGAUGUUGGUCUCACACAGCCGCCCGGUGUAUCCUGGCUUGCAGUGGCAGCUGAAAGAGGCCAGGCCGUCGAUGCAGGUGCCGUAGUGGCACGGGUCCGAGUAACACUCGUUGAUGUCUGUCUCACAGUGCCUCC